CUUACCCAGCGCUUCCCCACCCCUACCCUAAUGUACACACCCCUUCUCCGCUCCCUCCAAACGGUUAUCACGUCUGUGUACAAACUGAUACCGUCCUCAGCGGGCAGAGGGACUGGAAAUGAACAUCGCGGGGUUAUCAGCGCCGAUCUGUCAGCAGUGAGUCGCGCGGCUGCAGGCUGGUCCGCGGCAGGAGCCGUGAUAUAUGUCUCGCUCCCUUUCGCUCACAAAAAGGAUUUCUUCCGACAGAUGUGCCCCCAGAAGGCUGCUGAGAGAAUUUAACUAGGGCGGAGGAGUUGUUUUGUGAGAAUGGAAUUUUUACACUUUUUCCCCAGUUUCAGCGUGGCCGAAUUUCUAAAAGGCUGAAGGUAGAAAACUCUGGAAUGGAGAGACUGGCGACUGGAGCAGGAUCCAGGGGCUUUAAAUUUUAACCUGAGUUCGAUCGAAUGCGACGACCAGAAGAGGUAGCCCGGCGUCCGGCAGCCGCUCAACUUCCACCAGGACUUCGAAUGCCUUGUUUUUGGUUCUUUCGUGAGUUCUGGCCAAAUUUUUAAGUGGAUUGGGUUUUUGCAGAAGUUCGUUUGUAAGCAGUUACGGAAAUGUUGUGGACGUUUGAUUUAUUUUGAGCCCACUGUUUUGAAAUAAUGUUUCUCAAGUUUGGUAUUAAAAGCGAUUUAAAGAAGAAAAAGUUCAUAUCUUAUUUGCUAAAAAUAAACUAUUUGGCU